UGGGGAUUAUUACUAGGAGAUGUAUAGACUGGGCAUGUGCUGCUCUUAUUAGGAAAAGCAGUGCAUGUGCAGUUAGAAUAAAGCCAUGGACGAGCUUUCUCUAAAGCUCCUCCAUGUCGCGUGCAGUCAUGGACGAACUGGCUG